GACGAACGCUGGCGGCGUGCCUAAUACAUGCAAGUAGAACGCACAGUUUAUACCGUAGCUUGCUACACCAUAGACUGUGAGUUGCGAACGGGUGAGUAACGCGUAGGUAACCUGCCUGGUAGCGGGGGAUAACUAUUGGAAACGAUAGCUAAUACCGCAUAAUAUUGAUUAUUGCAUGAUAAUUGAUUGAAAGAUGCUAUUGCAUCACUACCAGAUGGACCUGCGUUGUAUUAGCUAGUAGGUGAGGUAACGGCUCACCUAGGCGACGAUACAUAGCCGACCUGAGGGGGUGAUCGGCCACACUGGGACUGAGACACGGCCCAGACUCCUACGGGAGGCAGCAGUAGGGAAUCUUCGGCAAUGGACGAAAGUCUGACCGAGCAACGCCGCGUGAGUGAAGAAGGUUUUCGGAUCGUAAAGCUCGGUUGUAAGAGAAGAACGGGUGUGAGAGUGGAAAGUUCACACUGUGACGGUAUCUUACCAGAAAGAGACGGCUAACUACGUG
rnacentral:rRNA from 1 species